rnacentral:lncRNA from 1 species
GACACUCGGGUGACUACCAGUUGGUGGUCAUCAGCCAGCCAGCCUCUGCUGGUGACUCUGGACAGUGAGAGACCUGAGAAAGGAGCUGGAUCCAGCAGCAAGCAGUUGUGCGGUAUUAGCUGGACAGCAACCGGCAGGUAUUGGCUGGUCCUGGAGUCCCUCACUGGGUAGAGGCUGUUCUGCUGUCUCCUGUUCCCAGAUCUGCAGUGAUCUUUUACAGGCAGAAUGGCUAAGAUCAAAAAUUCAGGUGGCAGCAGAUGCUGGUGAGGAUGUGGAGAAAGAGGAGCACUCCUUCAUUGCUGGUGGGAUUGCAAGCUUAUACAACCACUCUGGAAGUCAGUCUGGCUGUUCCUCAGAAAAUUGGACAUAGUACUACUGGAAGAUCCAGCAAUACCUCUCCUGGGCAUAUACCCAGUAGAUGCUCCAACCUAUAAUAAGGACACAUGCUCCACUGUGUUCAUAGCAGCCUUAUUUAUAAGAGCCAGAAGCUGGAAAGAACUCAGAUGUCCCUCAAGAGAAGAAUGGAUGCAGAAAAUGUGAUGCUGCACUGCUGGAAAAAGGGCUGCUCCUUCAGAAGACCCAAGUCCAAGUCCCAGCAGAAUGCUGGCCAACUCACAACUGCCUGGGACUUCAGUUUCAGAGAAUCUGGCUCCCCCUCCUAGCUUCCAUGGGUACCAGCAUACAUGUGCACAUGCAUGCACAAAAACAUACACACAUGUACAAGAACAGGCAUACACACACACACAAGUUUUUAAAAAAAAAUUAAAUAAAACCUUACAAAAAUAGGUGGAGCACACAUAGUCACAAACUACCCACGCAGGAUUGACAAAACUGUCAGGAGUUUGAAGGAAAGAAUGAAGAAGCAGAAUAGAGCCUGAGGAAGCAGGGUGGGUCUGUGCAAUGUGUCCUGCAUCGGGUCCUGGCACAGAAAAAUGGAAUGAUUUAAAACCUGUAAAUCUAGAUAACAUAUGGGCUUCACUUAAUCAUGGCAUGCCAGUAUUGGCCCAUUGCUUGGAACAAAUAUGCCACAUACAUAUAUGGAUAGUGAAGCUAUGCGCCCACGACAUCAACCAUGGAGAAAACUGGGUGUGGCUUGCAGGAGAGCCCUGUACUGCCUUUGUAAUCUGUAAGACUAAAGUUAUUAUUAAAAUUAUACAUAUAUUUGUUUUACAAGAGACAUGAGAUUGAGCAACAGCAAUCUUGGAGGAAAAUGAUAGCUUUGAAUGUUUAUAUUGGAAAUAAAAACCCAAUGCCCAUG